GGAAACCAUGGUAAUUUGUGGUUAACUCUGAUCAUGUUCUUCUGGUAUCCAGCAGCGCACAGAACAUUCUGCCAUGAUGGUUCGCACAGCGCAAGCUAUAACUGUAGUUUGCAUCCUACAUUUUAUGGAGAAGUGGCGUCCUUCAAGAAUUCUUUUCUGAUUGAACUGAAUUAUGUUGACAGCUCUGAUCUAGCCCAGAACUCUGCAAUAGGAUAAUGACUGGAGACAACAAUGUUGUGAUAGAAAUUCACUCUUCC
rnacentral:misc_RNA from 1 species